AUCGAUAAUCGAUCCUAAUAACACAAAUCUAGGGCCUCUCUUAGAAUUAACCAAAAUUAGAAUUUGUCUAAGUAUCUGGAUCCUCCACUGAUCCAUAAGACUUCUAGAGAGAGAAAAUUCUUGAAGAGAGAGAAAAUUCUAGAGAGAAAAAGUAGAGAGAGAAAAUUUUUGUAUCCUUCAGACGAGGCAAUCAUGAUCGAGAUCAUCAAAGAUCAUAUCAGGGUAACUCAAUAUGGAUUAACCAUGAUUGAUGUUAUCAAUUUCGAAUAA
rnacentral:lncRNA from 1 species